rnacentral:rRNA from 1 species
AGACCUCAGGUCAGGCGGGGCUACCCGCUGAAUUUAAGCAUAUCAAUAAGCGGAGGAAAAGAAACUAACUAGGAUUCCCUUAGUAACGGCGAGCGAACCGGGAAGAGCCCACCAUGAGAAUCGGUCGCCCUAGGCGUUCGA